UGAACGCUGGCGGCGUGCUUAACACAUGCAAGUCGAACGAAGCACUCUAUUUGAUUUUCUUCGGAAAUGAAGAUUUUGUGACUGAGUGGCGGACGGGUGAGUAACGCGUGGGUAACCUGCCUCAUACAGGGGGAUAACAGUUGGAAACGACUGCUAAUACCGCAUAAGCGCACAGGAUCGCAUGAUCUGGUGUGAAAAACUCCGGUGGUAUGGGAUGGACCCGCGUCUGAUUAGCCAGUUGGCAGGGUAACGGCCUACCAAAGCGACGAUCAGUAGCCGACCUGAGAGGGUGACCGGCCACAUUGGGACUGAGACACGGCCCAAACUCCUACGGGAGGCAGCAGUGGGGAAUAUUGCACAAUGGGGGAAACCCUGAUGCAGCGACGCCGCGUGAGCGAAGAAGUAUUUCGGUAUGUAAAGCUCUAUCAGCAGGGAAGAAGAAUGACGGUACCUGACUAAGAAGCACCGGCUAAAUACGUG
rnacentral:rRNA from 1 species